rnacentral:rRNA from 1 species
UACAGAGGAUCCGAGCGUUAUCCGGAUUUAUUGGGUUUAAAGGGAGCGUAGGCGGGUUGUUAAGUCAGUUGUGAAAGUUUGCGGCUCAACCGUAAAAUUGCAGUUGAUACUGGCAUCCUUGAGUACAGUAGAGGUAGGCGGAAUUCGUGGUGUAGCGGUGAAAUGCUUAGAUAUCACGAAGAACUCCGAUUGCGAAGGCAGCCUGCUGGACUGUAACUGACGCUGAUGCUCGAAAGUGUGGGUAUCAAACAGG